rnacentral:snRNA from 19 species
AUACUUACCUUGUUUGGGUGACCGUGAUCAAUAAGACGUGUCACCACAGAUUGGUCCCUGCAUUGCACAUCGUGGUGGAACAGUUUGUUCAAUGGCUCUCGUGGUCAUUGACAGGCGCAUUCUUUGGCACUCUCCUUCGUGGAACU